rnacentral:rRNA from 1 species
GUCUUACUUAGUGGCGGACGGGUGAGUAACGCGUGAGGAACCUGCCCUUCAGGAGGGGGACAACAGUUUGGAAACGACUGCUAAUACCGCACUGAUGUACAAUUGGGACAUCCCUUUUGUACCAAAGGAGCAAUCCGCUGAAGGAUGGCCUCGCGUCCGAUUAGAUAGUUGGUGGGGUAACGGCCCACCAAGUCGACGAUCGGUAGCCGGACUGAGAGGUUGAACGGCCACAUUGGGACUGAGACACGGCCCAGACUCCUACGGGGAGGCACGCAGUGGGGGAUAUUGCACAAUGGGGGAAACCCUGAUGCAGCAACGCCGCGUGAAGGAAGAAGGUCUUCGGAUUGUAAACUUCUGUUUUUAGUGAAGAAACAAAUGACGGUAGCUAAAGAGGAAGCCACGGCUAACUACGUG